GAUGAACGCUGGCGGCGUGCUUAACACAUGCAAGUCGAACGGAAAGGCUCCUGCUUGCAGGGGUACUCGAGUGGCGAACGGGUGAGUAACACGUGGGUGAUCUGCCCUGCACUUCGGGAUAAGCCUGGGAAACUGGGUCUAAUACCGGAUAGGACGAUGGUUUGGAUGCCAUUGUGGAAAGUUUUUCGGUGUGGGAUGAGCUCGCGGCCUAUCAGCUUGUUGGUGGGGUAAUGGCCUACCAAGGCGUCGACGGGUAGCCGGCCUGAGAGGGUGUACGGACACAUUGGGACUGAGAUACGGCCCAGACUCCUACGGGAGGCAGCAGUGGGGAAUAUUGCACAAUGGGCGCAAGCCUGAUGCAGCGACGCCGCGUGGGGGAUGACGGCCUUCGGGUUGUAAACUCCUUUCGCUAGGGACGAAGCGCAAGUGACGGUACCUGGAGAAGAAGCACCGGCUAACUACGUG
rnacentral:rRNA from 1 species